ACGAAGGUUUCGGCCUUAGUGGCGGACGGGUGAGUAACGCGUAGGAAUCUAUCCAUGGGUGGGGGAUAACACUGGGAAACUGGUGCUAAUACCGCAUGAUACCUGAGGGUCAAAGGCGCAAGUCGCCUGUGGAGGAGCCUGCGUUCGAUUAGCUAGUUGGUGGGGUAAAGGCCUACCAAGGCGAUGAUCGAUAGCUGGUUUGAGAGGAUGAUCAGCCACACUGGGACUGAGACACGGCCCAGACUCCUACGGGAGGCAGCAGUGGGGAAUAUUGGACAAUGGGGGCAACCCUGAUCCAGCAAUGCCGCGUGUGUGAAGAAGGUCUUCGGAUUGUAAAGCACUUUCGACGGGGACGAUGAUGACGGUACCCGUAGAAGAAGCCCCGGCUAACUUCGUGCCAGCAGCCGCGGUAAUACGAAGGGGGCUAGCGUUGCUCGGAAUGACUGGGCGUAAAGGGCGUGUAGGCGGUUUUGACAGUCAGAUGUGAAAUCCCCGGGCUUAACCUGGGAGCUGCAUUUGAGACGUUAAGACUAGAGUGUGAGAGAGGGUUGUGGAAUUCCCAGUGUAGAGGUGAAAUUCGUUAGAUAUUGGGAAGAACACCCGGUGGCGAAGGCGGCAACCUGGCUCAUUACUGACGCUGAGGCGCGAAAGCGUGGGGAGCAAACAGGAUUUAGAUACCCUGGUAGUCCACGCUGUAAACGAUGUGUGCUAGAUGUUGGGUAACU
rnacentral:rRNA from 1 species